AGCGAACGCUGGCGGCAGGCCUAAUACAUGCAAGUCGAACGGUCUCUUCGGAGGCAGUGGCGGACGGGUGAGUAACGCGUGGGAACGUGCCCUUUGGUACGGAACAACUGAGGGAAACUUCAGCUAAUACCGUAUGUGCCCUUCGGGGGAAAGAUUUAUCGCCAUUGGAGCGGCCCGCGUUGGAUUAGCUAGUUGGUGGGGUAAUGGCCCACCAAGGCGACGAUCCAUAGCUGGUCUGAGAGGAUGAUCAGCCACACUGGGACUGAGACACGGCCCAGACUCCUACGGGAGGCAGCAGUAGGGAAUCUUGCGCAAUGGGCGAAAGCCUGACGCAGCCAUGCCGCGUGAAUGAUGAAGGUCUUAGGAUUGUAAAAUUCUUUCACCGGGGACGAUAAUGACGGUACCCGGAGAAGAAGCCCCGGCUAACUUCGUGCCAGCCGCCGCGGUAAAAC
rnacentral:rRNA from 1 species